AGUGAACGCUGGCGGUAGGCCUAACACAUGCAAGUCGAACGGCAGCACAGUAAGAGCUUGCUCUUACGGGUGGCGAGUGGCGGACUGGUGAGGAAUACAUCGGAAUCUACUUUUUCGUGGGGGAUAACGUUGGGAAACUCCCGCUAAUACCUCAUACGACAUACGGGUGAAAGCAGGGCAUCUUCGGACCUUGCGCGACUGAAUGAGCCGAUGUCGGAUUAGCUAGUUGGCGGGGUAAAGGCCCACCAAGGCGACGAUCCGUAGCUGGUCUGAGAGGAUGAUCAGCCACACUGGAACUGAGACGCGGUCCAGACUCCUACGGGAGGCAGCAGUGGGGAAUAUUGGACAAUGGGCGCAAGCCUGAUCCAGCCAUACCGCGUGGGUGAAGAAGGCCUUCGGGUUGUAAAGCCCUUUUGUUGGGAAAGAAAAGCAGCAGGUUAAUACCCCGCUGUUCUGACGGUACCCAAAGAAUAAGCACCGGCUAACUUCGUG
rnacentral:rRNA from 1 species